rnacentral:rRNA from 1 species
GCUAAACGCGAAGAACCUUACCAGGGUUUGACAUAUAAGUGGUAGGGAAGGGAAACCGGACCGACCCUUCGGGGAGCUUAUACAGGUGCUGCAUGGCUGUCGUCAGCUCGUGUCGUGAGAUGUUCGGUUAAGUCCGCUAACGAGCGCAACCCUCGCUGUGUGUUACAAGUGUCACACGGUACUGCCGGUCUUAAACCGGAGGAAGGUGGGAUGACGUCAAGUCAGCAUGGCCUUUAUAUCCUGGGCUACACACACGCUACAAUGGGUAGGGACAAUUGGUUGCGAAACCGCGAGGUGGAGCCAAUCCGUAAAAACUACCCUCAGUUCAGAUUGCAGGCUGCAACUCGCCUGCAUGAAGUCGGAGUUGCUAGUAACCGCAGGUCAGCUAUACUGCGGUGAAUACGUUUCCGGGUCUUGUACACACCG